AGCAGCUCAGGUAGAUGAGAAAACCAAAGUUCGUAUUUCCAAAACGUUGCAGAAACAGGAAGUCUGGGGAGGAACUACUUCCGUUAGAAAGCAGGUGUCUGGUACUGCUUCGAGCGUUGCAUUUACUCCAUCGCAGGGUCUGGAAAUCGUCAAUCCUCAAGCUGCUAAAAGAAAUGCCAGUGAUGGCCCAGCAAAGUACUUCUCGAAUAGGUACUGCUGUUUUUUUGAAUGUGAAGAAAACUUAAUUAUUAGCCCUGGUUGGUUUUAUUUAUUAAUUUUUGAACUUUUUGAACUGAAGAAUAUAGAAUUUUUCCAAUGUGAAUGAUGACUCACGAGUGGUUAAUCAACGGUCGUUGUAAUUUUAUUGAUAUUAUCGAGUAGGAUCGUCAUUUUGUUCAUUUUCUAUUUAUUAUCCAAUAUAAUUAUGUAUGUU